CCUACGGGGGGCAGCAGUGGGGAAUAUUGGGCAAUGGGCGCAAGCCUGACCCAGCAACGCCGCGUGAAGGAAGAAGGCUUUCGGGUUGUAAACUUCUUUUAUCAGGGACGAAGCAAGUGACGGUACCUGAGGAAUAAGCCACGGCUAACUACGUGCCAGCAGCCGCGGUAAUACGUAGGUGGCAAGCGUUAUCCGGAUUUACUGGGUGUAAAGGGCGUGUAGGCGGGAGGGCAAGUCAGAUGUGAAAACUAUGGGCUCAACCCAUGGCCUGCAUUUGAAACUGUACUUCUGGAGUGCUGGAGAGGCAAUCGGAAUUCCGUGUGUAGCGGUGAAAUGCGUAGAUAUACGGAGGAACACCAGUGGCGAAGGCGGAUUGCUGGACAGUAACUGACGCUGAGGCGCGAAAGCGUGGGGAGCAAACAGGAUUAGAUACCCGUGUAGUC
rnacentral:rRNA from 1 species